AAAAGCUAUAAAAAAAGACUUUUAUUUUGGCGUGGUGUGUGACGUCAUCAGGUGGCGCCGCUUCAGCGCUUUGAUUCAACUGGAGAAAGGAUAAAGUGUCCAAACACAGAGAAAAACUCCUGCUGAAGUGACUGAUCUCCACACUGUUAUUAAGAUGGCGUUCAUUAAAGAGGAGAGUGAAGAUGUGAAGAUUGAAGAAACAUUCACAGUCAAACAGGAAGAUCUGCAGGAACAAACAGACCUAAUUGGAGAGAAGGAGGGGAGUAAAGAGGAGGAACAUCAUGUUAAAAUUGAGGACAAAACUCAUUUACAGACUGAUGGUAUUUUGAAAAGGAGAGACGGGAAUCGUUUCACUUGCACUCAGUGUGGAAAGAUUUUGGGAAGCAAAAGCAAACUUAAGAUUCACAUGAGCAUCCACACAGGAGAGAAACCAUUUACAUGCACUCAGUGUGGGAAGAGUUUCAGCAAAUCAUCAUCCCUUAAUCAACACAUGAGGAUCCACACUGGAGAGAAACCAUUCACAUGCACUCUGUGUGGGAAGAGUUUCAGCCAAUCAUCAUCUCUUAAUAAGCACAUGAGGAUCCACACUGGAGAGAAACCAUUCACAUGCACUCAGUGUGGGAAGAGUUUCAACCGAUCAGAACACCUUAAUCUACACAUGAGGAUCCAUACCGGAGAGAAAUCAUUCACUUGCACUGAGUGUGAGAAGAGUUUUACCUGCUCAUCAAACCUUAAUCUACACAUGAGGAAACACACUGGAGAGAAACCAUACGCAUGCACUCAGUGUGGGAAGAUUUUCAGCCAAUCAUCAUGCCUUAAUCUACAC
rnacentral:lncRNA from 1 species